CCCUAAUUUUUCUCACCCUUAUUGCACCUCCCUCCCUCAUCAAAGCUCUCCUUCUGACUCUCGACAUACACUCAAACACUUACUCACUUACUGCCGAUCACCGCCUCCUUCACCCACUCUCACCGCCGUUCUACAUGCGCCGCUGUUCACCUUUAUCGUCGUUCCUAUUCGUCGUCGGUCUCCCCAUCGCGUCCUUGUUUGUCGCCGCAUCUUGUAGUCACGUCGCCACCACCAACAGAAUCUUCUCCUCCAGCAUCAGUAGCUUCACCGUGUCCUGCAAAUUCCUUGCUGGCGGUUUCCCCAUCGUGUCACUGUUUAGUACCGCAUCGUGUAGUUACCUCAUCGCCGCGUUCUACAGAUUGCUCGCCAGCAGACUCCCCAUCGCAUCAUUGUUUGGCACUGCGUCUUACGGUCACCUCGCCGUCACCUGCUGGAGUAGAAAAUCUUACAAAUAAGGAGCACCAAUUAGAUGAACAAAUAAGUAAGAUGCAAGAAAGAUUAAGAGGUCUUAGUGAAGAUGAAAACACUCAAAGGUGAGGGAGCAUUUAAAAAUAUUCACCAUAUGACUGAUGAGGUUAUAAUUCUUGAUGAACCUCCCAGCGGAAUGGAUCCAUACUCAAUGCGUUUGACUUGACAAUUAAUACAAAAAUUUAAGAAAGGCAGGAUAAUCUUACUAACAACUCAUUCAAUGGAUGAAUCAGAUGAACUAGAUGAUUGGAUAGCUAUCAUGGCCAAUGGUUCUCUGAAAUGCUGAGGAAGGUUUAAUUUACUUCUCAGUUUCUCCAAUUACACCGUUCAUUUGAAAGCUAGUGAUUGAAAUGGAAUAUGAGGAUCAAUGACAAAAUUUAUAUAUGGAGAUUAAGUUGUGUAUAUAUGUAUAUAUUUUGUUAUAUGCCUUUAUCCACUUUGUACUUUCCUUUCUCAACUAGGUUAACUUCUUUUUCUAUGAUCCCCUCAUGGUGUGCACACGCAUGCAUGUGCACCGACACCCAUGUGUGUGCAUUGUUUGUCUAUUUUGAAUUUCAUAUUAGGCAACUCAUUAAAUUUUAUGUGCAGUUACUUUCUGAAUUUCCAGUUUUUUUAAUUUACCUAUGAUGACUUGAUUUCUAGUGGAAAAAUUGGUGGAAAUUUAGUUUUAACUUUUAAAUGCACAUCUAGGUAUCAUGAUUGUAUUAUACAUUUUUUCUCCUCUUAUUUAUAGUAUUUUUUGAUAGCUCACCUUUCUUGAAGCAUCAUUAUGGAGUUGGUUAUACUCUAACUCUUGUAAAGGUUUGUUCUAUCUUGAUAACUUCCUCUUCAAUUCAUUCAGGUGCUGAUGUUUCAUGGCGGAAAUGCUUUAUUUAUUUAUGUAUUUUUAGUUUUUCAUUUUUCUUUAAUUCUUGUCUUUCAGUCAGAUCCUACUGCUUCUAUAGCUAGUGAUAUAGUAUAUCAUCAUGUUCCUUCAGCAACCUGUGUAAGCGAGAUAAUCUCUCACAGUAUAGCUAUUUGUAAUUCACUUUAAUAUCAGUCUGAUGAACUUAAUACUCAUAUAUGAACAGUAGGCAAUCAAUAGUAUUCUUUAUAUCACUUUAAAGGGAGAAAAAGUAGCUUAAUUGUAUCAUAUAUCAAACUUAUUCAGAUAAUUCAUUACUUUGGACAUGAAUAAACUAACUUUACCAUCGUGAUUAUUAAUUGUUACUCUAAGUUUGGUGACUUCAUAUUUAGCUUUAUAGUAAAAAGGAAAGAAACCUAAUGCAGUGAAAGAAGAGAGUAUGAAAGAAAAAGGAUAAGAAAUCUCAGGAAGGAGAGAGCAAAAUUUAAAACAUAGGUCUAACCUUAGAGAUUGAGCCAUGGUUCAUGUUACAGGGAACCCGAAUCUGUUUUAGGAAAAGAAUAACACAUAGGUCCUAGCUUUAGAGAUUAGCCAUGUAACAGGAUAUGCUCAUAUUUUUGCAUAUCUAGGCACAAAAAUUCCCCAAAAGAAUGCACUAAUAGAAUAUCUAAGUACGAAAAAACUACUCAAUAUCAUAUGUUGUCCAAAGAUGGAAAAGUUCGCUUGAAAUAUAUGUCAUUCUUUUUCAGCCACAGACGCUGAAAGUGAAGAGAUGAGGUGUAAAAAAGGUAAACGUAAAAAAAUUACAUAGAAUAGGUUGAAUAGGUCUUUCCCAGCUCCAGCAGCAUUACGAAAGGAGUGGAUCCUCUCCAGUAGAAAAAAAACUGGAUGGUAUCUAGUGUUUAAUCUCACCCUUCAUUGCUCUCUCUCUCCUAUUUAUUUUUGGUCCCACUUAUAAAAUUAAAGGUUAGAGAUCACACUUUAUUCUCUCAAGUGUAAAAAAAACUGGAGAGGAUCCAUUUCCGCAUUACGAAUUUGGAUGCAAGCCAUACAUGCUUUAAGAUUGAACCUAGUUUCCUCUCUUUCAUUGUUUCUAAUAGUUAAUUUUAUUAAGGAGUUAAUUACCUAUAUCUUUUAAAAUGCAAAAAGGCAAAAAGGAAAAAAGGUAAGAUAGUUAGUUUUAUGUUGGAUUUCAUAUAAACAGUGCUUUGGUUAUGGAUAAUCAAGUUCAAACUCAAUUAAAAAACACUUCCUUUUCAUACAUUAUUUUUAAAUAUGUUUUGCAUGACGUUAUGAUGAUUGAUUCUAUUUAUUUAAUUCUGCCUUGCUGGAUAUGCAUUUCAGGUGGGAACUGAGAUUUUCUUUAAGCUUCCCUUGGCAUCUUCAUAAGCUUUUGAGGGGGUUUAGGAAAAUUGAAGAUUGCAUGAAAAAACCACUUUUGAACAUGGAAAUAAGUGAUAACAGUGUUGCUAUGGUGGCUAGAGUAGCCGUGGUGAAAGCUGUUCACAACAGAAUGGAUAGACAAUUUUGUGAUACUGAUAUCUAAGAAUUAGGUUAUUAGCUUUUUGUGAUGGAAUUGUAAAUUUUCCUUUUACUAAUUCUAAGUACUUAUUUCUUAAGGUGUCACCCCGGAUAGCAAAAGCUUGCUGGAGGCUGAUCAUAGUCAUGGCUUUUAUUUUCUUCUUUUUCAAAUGUUUGUAACAUGUACAUAAUUAUGUAAAUCAAAUCAAUGAAAAAUGAAUCUUUUAACC